rnacentral:misc_RNA from 1 species
UCCGAGUUGACCCCGGCAGUCUCCUGCGAGUCCCCGCCAUUACGCGCUGGCAACACAGGACAAGGGUUGCGCUCGUUGCGGGACUUAACCCAACAUCUCACGACACGAGCUGACGACAGCCAUGCAGCACCUGUGCAGGUUCUCGACUUUACGAGUGGUUCCCCUUUCGGGGUUCUACUUCCUGCAUGUCAAGCCUAGGUGAGGUUCUUCGCGUUGCAUCGAAUUAAACCACACGCUCCGCCGCUUGUGCGGGCCCCCGUCAAUUCCUUUGAGUUUCAGCCUUGCGGCCGUACUCCCCAGGCGGGGCACUUAUCGCGUUAGCUGCGACACGGAAGGGGUCGAUCCCACCCGCGUCUAGUGCCCAUCGUUUACGGCGUGGACUAC